UUCACUCAAUAUUAUAUGUUGAGCGCGAAAGUUGAUAUCAACAGACGCCAUGAUGUUAUACCGGUAAACAUCUUGAACAUGAAUCGAGAACAGGAGUUGAUGCAGAUAUUCUGAGGAGAAUCUUCCAAUCAUUGAAAUAUAUUUCAUGAUAGUCGUGAAGAUACAGAAGUUGUGAUGGUGUGUUGAUAGGCUGUCUUCAACUUGCCAUAUCUGAGAGUUCCAACAUGCAGGCCUGGAUUAAUGUGUAUAAAUCACUAAUGAAGUUACUUAGUGUUAUUUAGUUUUAAAAAAAGAAUGACAUUUCAAUUUAUACACACUUGCCAAGUGAAUCUGAUGAGACUGCUACAUGUAUUUGUGAGUAAAGGCACUCUGUCUUAACCGAAAAACUAUUUACAGUUUAUCACAACAAAUGGAUGGGACAGUAGAGUUGUUGCGGACAAUAUGUGAUUGUGAUGACCAAGUACUGAACAAGUGGAAGAUUAGAAGAAGGUCCAGAAUUCAAUCGUUUUUGAUUCUAAGGCGCAGACAGCAUGGAGAUAGUCCUAUUAUUCUCCCAUUCAUCUAUGAUGGAGAAACUUGUGUAAAUGUUUACAGUGUUCUCCCUAAUAAGGGCCCACAAGUCUGUAUUAAUUUAUCAGAAUAUAAAGUUCUUCACAGUACUCAGAAGUACUGACUUUAAAAUUCAUGUAGAUUGUCUCCAGAUUUUUCUGAGGAAAAGUGCAUAGUUCACAUGUGUGAAUUUUGAAUAUAUUUCAUUCUUGUAUGCAAAUGUUGCUGAAACCUGUUAUUGAUGCACAAAGCACAUAGUCAUGUUAUGCAAAUGAUAGACCUCCUUUUUAAUUACAUGUACUUAAGAUCAUGUCAACUCCUUUGUCUUAAUUGUAUAUACAAUUCUAGCAUUUAUAGCAUCAUUUGUAUAGCACUUGCUAGUUUAAUAAGGAUUUUAUUUUUUAAAAACUUUCAUUUGACAUGAUUGAUCUAAAACGGCCAAAAUUCACAAAUCUAUUUAAAUCACAACCUGACCUUAGGCCAGAAAAGUGCCACAGUGGGUUGAUAUUUUUCUCUUGGAUCUUGAAAGAAAUUCUUUAUGCAGCAGUUUCCAAAUAAAAUGUACUCUCAUGGCCAGGGUGGGACUUCACCGAAAACUUUUUAACAUUGCACAAUGCAAUAUUUGUGGAUUAGAAGCUGUUGCAGUUUCUUUAAGUUUUCUCUCACAUCUUGUUAUAAUUAUAUUUUAUAUUUUUGGUCGGGUUGCACAAUGUGCAAACAGUUUAUAAAAUGCUGAAUGACUGGUGGGCAAGCGACAAUAGCGUCCCUGUAAUAGUACCUACUUUGUGUAAUCAACUCCUUUCACACCUCUCACUUGAUGUUCCUCAAACUUUGUACAGUUGUUAGGGAUACAUCGAAGAUGUGCGUGUACCUUUUUGAAAGUGAUCAGACAUUUUUUGAAAAAUUUACAUGUAGUUAAACUUCGUCAUUUUUUAAGCAUUUCUUUAAUCGACAGUAUCUAUUUUGUGUAAUCAACUCCUCGUAUACCUCUAAUUUGACAUUCCUCAAACUGUGUACAGUUGUUAUGAAUACAUUGAAGAUGUGCAUAUGUGUUUUUGAAAGUGAUCAGACAUUUAAAAAAAAAAAUGUACAUUUAGUUGAAUUUAAGUCAUUUUAAAGCAUUUCUUGAAUAGAUGGUAACUAUUUUGUGUAAUCAAAUCCUCAUGCACCUCUAACUUGACAUUCCUUAAACUUUGUACAGUUGUUAUGAACACAUUGAAGAUGUGCAUGUGUCUUUUUGAAAAUGAUUAGACUUUUUUUUUUUUUUAUUACGUGUAGUUGAACUUAUUAUUUUUUAUGCAUUUCUUGAAUAGAUGGUACCUAUUUUGUGUGAUCAACUCGUGCACAUCUAAAUUGAUAUUCCUCAAACUUUGUACAGUAGUUAUGGACACAUUGAAGAUGUGCAUGUGUCUUUUUGAAAGUGAUCAGACUUUUUUCAAAAAAAUUACAUUUAGUUGAACUUUGUCAUUUAUUUAAAGCAUUUCCUGAAUAGUUGGUACCUAUUUUUUGUAAUAAACUCCUCUUACAGCAUUUAUUUGACAUUCUUCAGACCUUGAACAGCUGUUAUGGAAGCAUUGUAAAUGUGCAUGUGUCUUUUCGGAAGUGAUCAGGCAUUCUUUGAAAAAUUUACAUGUGCAUGGUGAAGUUGAACUUAGUCAUUUUUUAAGCAUGGUACUUUAUGUAACCAACUCAGCUUUUACUUAACAUUUUCCAAACCCUGUACAUUAUAGAUGUUAUAAAAACAUUGAAGAUUUACAUCUAACAUUUUAAAAAUGUUUCUCUUUUUUUUUUUUCUUUUUUCUUUUUUUGUUGAAAAAUUCUACCUUUAAUUUGUCAUUUUUCCAGUAUGUUUCUACUGUUGUUCCUAUGAUAGAUAACAUAUUUUACAAGAACCUGGUCAUUUCUGUUUUUGAAUCUCUCUUUUUUUUAAUUAGUAUUUUUGAAUAUGUUAAUUACUUGAUAUGCCAUUGUUCUUGAAAUUAUAUUAAUUGAAUUAUUAUUGUGUUUUUAUACGCCUGUCUUAAGAUGGGCCGUAUUAUGUUAUGGCCUUCAUGUCCGUCCGUCUGUCCGUCCGUCCGUCCGUCUGUUAGCUUUUUCGUGUCCGGCUCAUAACUUAAAUACUAUAAGGCCUAGAAUAAUCAAACUUUGUCAGUUGAUACAUCUUGGGUAGAAGGUGUGUCGCACAUUAAAACCAGGUCGCUGUGACUUUUAAUUAAGAAGAUAUGGCCAAAUAUGGUAAAACCCUGUCCGGCUCAUAACUUGAAAACUAUUUGAUCUAGAAUCAUGAAACUUGGUCAACUUAUGCAUCUUAGGUAGAAGGUGUGUCGCACUGUACUUUAAGGUCACUGUGACAUUUAGUUGAAGUGAUUUUUUGAAAAAAGUAUGUUAUAAUUGGUACAAUCCCUACUCAUAUAAGAGUUUUGUAGAAAACCUCAUUCAAAAAUGUUACAUCAAGAAAACACAUAUUUUUUUUAUGAUAUACUGUACAGCUUUUUUUAGCCUAUGUAAUGUUUCCUUUGUUUCUAACAAUAACAUGAGAAAUUCCACUUGUCCCAUGGGAGUAGCAUGCAAAGGGCAUUUUGACAAGACUAAUUAAUGAGUUUUGUGUAGAGCAUCUCUGAUCAACAUGAUCAAGCAGGUGUUAUCUUUAUCUCUAGGGAAUUGGGCAGAGAGAUCUUAGCCUCUUAAUUGCAGAUAUACCAGAAAUUAUUUGUGAAAGUGAAUUUAUUUGUUGUGGUUAGUCUUUAUUUUCAAAAUUAAUUUGACAUUGUACUAUAUAAUUUUUAUUUUUUUUUCUCAGCAACCUAUAUGCAGAGUAUCAUUUCUCACUAAGACAACAAAUGGUUGCAAUAUGUAUAAAGGCCUAUUUUAAUGAUUAGUAUUUUGAUGUUUUGUUAUGGCUGUGGCAUUGUUCAGAAAAAAAGAUAUACAAUGAACAAAGCUGCAGAUUGGGCAUUUGUGUAAAUCUGAACAGAUGAAAUAGUAUUGCAAUAACCAUAUUAAAAAAUGUUAAUUCAAGAAACUACACAUUCUUCAUUAUAUACACUGUACUAUACAGCAGUAUAUAACAAACAAAUUAUUUCUUUUGUGUCAGUAACAAGAGAAAUUUCCCUUGUCCCAUGGGUGUAAUUAUCAAGCAAUUCAGGAGGCAAUUUGCUAACAGAAAAAUUGCAUUCUGUCAAAUUACAGAUUAAUUAAUGAGUUUAGAAGAUUUCUGUUACAGCAAUCUGAUCAAGGAGGUGCUAUCUAUAUCUCUUGCAAUCCGGAAUUGGGCAGAGGAAUCUGGCCUUCUAAUUGAUCUGUCAAAUUUUAGAACAGUUCUAAUUGGUAGCCAUUACUUUGAAAGUUAAUUUGGUAUAAAGUUUAAGAAUUAAUAUGAUAUUGUAAAAUAUAUUUUUAUUUUAUAUCUCAACAACAAGGUGCAGAUUGUCAUGUCUCACUAAGAUGACAGUUUUACAGUCUAAGAAUAAACAUAAUGACUAAUGUUUGAUGUUUUAUUACGCUGUGCAUUGUUCUUCAUUCCUUAAAAUACAAUGAGCAAAACUGCAGAUGUGCAUUUCUCAAGUCUAACACAACCAGUUGAGAAAUAUAUGAUGUAUUAUUUUUUUCUAAUUAAUAACUACACCAUAGGAGAUGCACCAGUGUUUGAAAUAACCGUUUUUAAUCUAUAUUUAUUUAUAUUGACAUCACCAUGCAUAUUUUACUUUUAUACUUGAAGAUUUGACAAAGGCAGAUACUGAUAUAUGUAUUUUUUGAUAUGUUGAAUAAAUCAACCUUUUUGAGUA